CAGGAGCUGUGUGCUCUAGUGGAGGAUCCACACUGGACACUGGACACUGUCAGGUUGGAGCCCAGUGGAGUCCGAUGGUUGAGACCAGGUCUGAGGAAGUGUAAGUGGAUUUACAUUGGAUUAAAGAUGAAACCCAACCUGUUAUGUGGACCUGCCAACCUACUAUUAGUGAAGGUCCACAGUCAGUGAGUGUGUGUGCAGCUGUAAACACUCAGCUGUGGGUCAUAGUGGGUGGAUGAACCAGUGGUCCAGUGGUUAGAGCUGGAUGGACCCUUGGAUCCAUGUCACCCCCUACUCUGUGUCCCAGGGUUAGAGUUUCAUCCACUGUCACUGUCCAAGACAGAAAAGAGCCCAAAAGGAUGAAAAACCAGUAGAUUUAGUUCAAGAUGAAGCAGGUUGAACUGAAACGAACCAGUUCCUUUAAUAAACAUUUAUGAUCUGCGCUAAUUUCAUGAGUCAGUGGAUAGAUUUGAAUUCAUCCAUUAGAUUCAACAGCAGGAACUAAACCUAAAUGUGAACAAACAUCAUUCAAACAUAUUCACUGAGGACUGAGGCAGAGUUACAGGUUAUUGAUCAGAGACAAGAAUAGAAGAGAAAAGAGAAAGAACAGCUGAGAAUAGGUUUGAAUAAACAUGAACAGAACCUCCUCAUGUUGGUUCUGACAAAUCUGAUCCAUGUGACAAAGACCACAGAUAAAGACAUUGAAUCUGUGUUUGGAUUUGACUGUAUUUCACUGAUAUCCAUUAGUUCAUGUGACUUUAGUUGUGUUUGUAGUUAACGUUAGUGUCAAACUGCAUCAGUUUCAUCAAAACCUUCAACAGUCUGUGCUGAACUAUAGAACUGGACUAAAACCAGGAACAGAAACCACUUUCACAAAGAACAGAAGGAAAACCAAGGUCUAUAGAAAGGAUUUAUAUAAAACACAAACAUGAACAUCAGUUGACUCUCCUGUUUUCAUUCCUUUAAUUGUGUGUUUGUGAAAACAGAAACAACAGAUCCAUGAAUAAAACACUGGGUUUCUCUGUUAUUGAUCAUUAUUGUCAUUAGUAAGAAUCACACCUGAUCCAUCCAUCAAUGACAUCUAAUGUUACCCAGGGAUGUGAUCAGACUGUCUGUCAAUCAGCUGAUCACUGAUCAAUAACUGCAACUAACUACUAAGACCACUUAGUACAGAAUGUAAUGCCCAUUUCACAGUCAUACAGGCAAAAAUUCAU